rnacentral:misc_RNA from 1 species
UCAAACUUGGUCAUUUAGAGGAAGUAAAAGUCGUAACAAGGUCUCCGUUGGUGAACCAGCGGAGGGAUCAUUACCGAGUUUACACAACUCCCAAACCCACUGUGAACCUUACCGAAUCGUUGCUUCGGCGGGACACGCCCCGGGCCCCAGCCGCCCGGAACCAGGCGCCCGCCGGAGGCCCCAAAACUCUCAUGUUUCUCCUGGCGGAAUCGAAUCUGAGUGUGCCACAGCGGCAAGAAAAUGAAUCAAAACUUUCAACAACGGAUCUCUUGGUUCUGGCAUCGAUGAAGAACGCAGC